rnacentral:tRNA from 1 species
AGCUCCGAGGUAUGAUGACGUCAGAUUGCAAAUCUGAAGAAGCAGGCUAAUUACCUGCCGGGGCUU